AUUGAACGCUGGCGGCAUGCCUUACACAUGCAAGUCGAACGGCAGCGCGGACUUCGGUCUGGCGGCGAGUGGCGAACGGGUGAGUAAUACAUCGGAACGUACCCUGUUGUGGGGGAUAACUAGUCGAAAGAUUAGCUAAUACCGCAUACGACCUGAGGGUGAAAGUGGGGGACCGGAAACGGCCUCAUGCAGCAGGCGCGGCCGAUGUCUGAUUAGCUAGUUGGUGGGGUAAAGGCCCACCAAGGCGACGAUCAGUAGCUGGUCUGAGAGGACGAUCAGCCACACUGGGACGGAGACACGGCCCAGACUACUACGGGAGGCAGCAGUGGGGAAUUUUGGACCAUGGGGGCAACCCUGAUCCAGCAAUGCCGCGUGUGUGAAGAAGGCCUUCGGGUUGUAAAGCACUUUUGUCCGGAAAGAAAUCGCGCUGGUUAAUACCUGGCGUGGAUGACGGUACCGGAAGAAUAAGCACCGGCUAACUACGUG
rnacentral:rRNA from 1 species